CGAAAUCGGUAGACGCUACGGACUUAAAAUCCGUCGAACUUUUAAAUCGUGAGGGUUCAAGUCCCUCUAUCCC
rnacentral:tRNA from 3 species